ACCAGAUGACGAGUCCUAAACAGGACGACAUGCGCAUGCUGGAU
rnacentral:hammerhead_ribozyme from 1 species